CACUCCUGCGGGAGGCAGCAGUGGGGAAUAUUGGACAAUGGGCGCAAGCCUGAUCCAGCCAUGCCGCGUGAGUGAUGAAGGCCCUAGGGUUGUAAAGCUCUUUCACCGGUGAAGAUAAUGACGGUAACCGGAGAAGAAGCCCCGGCUAACUUCGUGCCAGCAGCCGCGGUAAUACGAAGGGGGCUAGCGUUGUUCGGAUUUACUGGGCGUAAAGCGCACGUAGGCGGACUAUUAAGUCAGGGGUGAAAUCCCGGGGCUCAACCCCGGAACUGCCUUUGAUACUGGUAGUCUUGAGUUCGAGAGAGGUGAGUGGAAUUCCGAGUGUAGAGGUGAAAUUCGUAGAUAUUCGGAGGAACACCAGUGGCGAAGGCGGCUCACUGGCUCGAUACUGACGCUGAGGUGCGAAAGCGUGGGGAGCAAACAGGAUUAGAAACCCUAGUAGUCCCAUG
rnacentral:rRNA from 1 species